rnacentral:rRNA from 1 species
UGGGGAAUUUUGGACAAUGGGGGAAACCCUGAUCCAGCCAUCCCGCGUGUGCGAUGAAGGCCUUCGGGUUGUAAAGCACUUUUGGCAGGAAAGAAACGUCAUGGGUUAAUACCCCGUGAAACUGACGGUACCUGCAGAAUAAGCACCGGCUAACUACGUGCCAGCAGCCGCGGUAAUACGUAGGGUGCAAGCGUUAAUCGGAAUUACUGGGCGUAAAGCGUGCGCAGGCGGUUCGGAAAGAAAGAUGUGAAAUCCCAUCGCUCAACUUUGGAACUGCAUUUUUAACUACCGGUCUAGAGUGUGUCAGCUGGAGGUGGAAUUCCGCGUGUAGCAGUGACAUGCGUAGAUAUGCGGAGGAACACCUAUGGCGAAGGCAGCCUCCUGGGAUAACACUGACGCUCAUGCACGCGAGCGUGGGGGGCAAACAGG